rnacentral:rRNA from 23 species
AGCCCCUUGCGUUUUAUAAGGGGUCCUGCCUGCCCAGUGAGCUAAAACUAAACGGCCGCGGUAUCUUGACCGUGCAAAGGUAGCAUAAUCAUUUGUCUUUUAAAUGGAGACUUGUAUGAACGGCACAACCUUUUUUAACUGUCUCUUCCUCUACCCUUUUAAUCUCUUCUUUACGUGAAGAAACGUAAAUGCCUUAGAAAGACGAGAAGACCCUGUCGAGCUUAAGCUAACAAGUGAACAGUUCCCGCUGAUCUCACUCAAGAGCUUUGGUUGGGGCAACCAUGGAGUAAAAGGAACCUCCAGAACAUAUAGAAGAACUCCACUCUCUAUCAGCAAGCUUAAAGAACCAAGAAUUGGUAAUCGGAAAAAGUUACCGCAGGGAUAACAGCGUCAUCUCCUCUAAGAGUCCUUAUUGACGAGGAGGUUUGCGACCUCGAUGUUGGAUUGGGGCCACCUUAGGGUGCAGAAGCUCUAAAUGGUUAGACUGUUCGUCUAUUAAAGCCCC